UAAAGAGUAACGGAGGAGCACGAAGGUUGGCUAAUCCUGGUCGGACAUCAGGAGGUUAGUGCAAUGGCAUAAGCCAGCUUGACUGCGAGCGUGACGGCGCGAGCAGGUGCGAAAGCAGGUCAUAGUGAUCCGGUGGUUCUGAAUGGAAGGGCCAUCGCUCAACGGAUAAAAGGUACUCCGGGGAUAACAGGCUGAUACCGCCCAAGAGUUCAUAUCGACGGCGGUGUUUGGCACCUCGAUGUCGGCUCAUCACAUCCUGGGGCUGAAGUAGGUCCCAAGGGUAUGGCUGUUCGCCAUUUAAAGUGGUACGCGAGCUGGGUUUAGAACGUCGUGAGACAGUUCGGUCCCUAUCUGCCGUGGGCGCUGGAGAACUGAGGGGGGCUGCUCCUAGUACGAGAGGACCGGAGUGGACGCAUCACUGGUGUUCGGGUUGUCAUGCCAAUGGCACUGCCCGGUAGCUAAAUGCGGAAGAGAUAAGUGCUGAAAGCAUCUAAGCACGAAACUUGC
rnacentral:rRNA from 1 species